GAUGAACGCUGGCGGCGUGCCUAAUACAUGCAAGUCGAGCGAACAGAUGAGGAGCUUGCUCCUCUGAUGUUAGCGGCGGACGGGUGAGUAACACGUGGAUAACCUACCUAUAAGACUGGGAUAACUUCGGGAAACCGGAGCUAAUACCGGAUAAUAUUUUGAACCGCAUGGUUCAAAAGUGAAAGACGGUCUUGCUGUCACUUAUAGAUGGAUCCGCGCCGCAUUAGCUAGUUGGUAAGGUAACGGCUUACCAAGGCAACGAUGCGUAGCCGACCUGAGAGGGUGAUCGGCCACACUGGAACUGAGACACGGUCCAGACUCCUACGGGAGGCAGCAGUAGGGAAUCUUCCGCAAUGGGCGAAAGCCUGACGGAGCAACGCCGCGUGAGUGAUGAAGGUCUUCGGAUCGUAAAACUCUGUUAUUAGGGAAGAACAAAUGUGUAAGUAACUAUGCACAUCUUGACGGUACCUAAUCAGAAAGCCACGGCUAACUACGUG
rnacentral:rRNA from 1 species